AACGGGAACUUCAAAACUCGUCCGAACAACUCCCACCAUAAUUUCUAGUUGCUAUUAGGAUUCCAGUGAUUUUUGAUGGGUUUUUUAUAAUGCUCCGAAGAUGUCUUGGUUACGUAGGGUUAGAGGUGCGCACCUCCAGAACCCUCACAUUUUUUUGAUGAAAAAACUCCUCUCACCCUUGUUCCUUGCUAUCUAUUUAUAAGGGAAGUUAGGGUUUUGAAAGAGUAUAAUUCAAACCCAAAAAUUCAAAAUUAUUCCAAAAAAUUUUGAUAUCCAUAGUGAGACAAAGGGCCUUUGUACUCAAGAAUCAAUAGAGAGGUAGAGAAAAAGAGUUGUUUGGCUUUGAAAAAGGGACGUUGGCUGUGUUAGUCAAAUGGGUGAAUUAACUUUUUACCAAAAUAGUGAGUCAUGGGCUGAAAAUUGUUAAAGCCUUCUGAAUUUUGGCCAUGAAUGAAUAAACCAUGAGGGCAAAAUAGUAAAUAGGGGAAAUUUUAGGUAUUGCCAUUGGUUGACCGUCGUUGUUGCUGCAUUGCUAUUACAACGUUGAGGUUGUACAUUGUUUUUGUUACUCUAUGAAAUCGCUGGAUUAUUGUUAUCGUCGUUUGCCGUUGUUGAAAUUGAUACGGCAUUUGCUGUUGUUGUUUGUGUAUUGUCAUUUUUUUGCUGUUAGGUGGAAAGAAGAAUAGGGGGUGGGGGUCAGGUAUGGAUGUGGUUUUAAUGUUAGGCCGGGUGUUGGCUGGUGAGAGCUAUUGGGACGCUAGUGUUGUUAACGGCUGGCCCAAUUUUAGGUGAGAAAAAAGGGUCGAUGAUGUUGUUUGAUAUUGAUGUUGGGCCUGUUUUAAAGGUGGUGGGCUGGUGUUGGUGUUAUUGUUAUUUGAGGGGGUGUUGGGACGGUUGGAGUUGAUCGGGUCAGCUGAUGCUGUUGGGCUGCACAGCUGGUCCAAUUUGAGUGAGAGAAGGGUUUUAGGCCAUUUAAAAGAUGACCCAAAUUAAAUGAUUAUUUAGUCAAUUUUUAUUUAAAUUCCAGCCAAAUUAAAAAUUAAUCAACCAAUUGCAUUGCAAUGUGGCCUAACUGAUUUCAAUUAUGUCCAAAUUCAAUGAAUCGACCGAAUUAAAUCAAAAUUUUGAAUGAAUUAUAAACCAAUUUAAUUUCGAGUUUCUCGGCUUAAUAAAAUCGAACAAAUAUUUUUCAAAUAAAGUAUUAUCAAAUAUAAAAUAUUUUUUAAAUCAAUAUUUUACACAUUUGAAUCAAUUUUCAAGAUAACCCUUGAUUUAAAAUUAAAUUUUCCAUAAAACAAUUAUUUAAGUAACAAAAUUACAUGAUUUCGUAUGUGUGAAUACAAAGAUAUAUAAUUGUUACUUAAAAUGCCCGAAAUUACCUAGACAUAUACUUUAGAAAGUUUUGUUUUUCAAAAAAAUAAAUGUUGUAAUUUUAUAUAAGAUCAAAGAAACUAAGGUCUAAACUUAGUCGUGGAGAGAAAAAAUUAGGUGUCAACAAAUUCCUCCCUUUUGGGUAGGGUGGAUGCAAGUAACCCAUGGCAAGGGGAGUUUGAAGUUCCUAAUUUUUUCCGACCACAAAUUCAUUUACAAAAGAGGUUGGUUUUUGCAUGAGUUUAUAGAGAGUUAUGGUCGGACCUCGGUAUUGGGUUUACUAUAUAUCGCAAGUUACAUCAGAAAUCAGGCUACUUGUAGUUCAUAAAGCUUGAUUUGUAAGCGCAAUUUUUAAAAAAUUCACAAGUUAUUUCAGUUUUUGAGUUUUGAUAAAAACGUAACGCUGGAGAAUAAGGAGAUUUGGGGGGGGGGGGAAUGCAGUCGAGUUUUCAACAAAGAUCCCAGCCUACAUAUCUCUGAGACUCAGGAAAUCAGACUGCCUGUAGUUUGACUCGAUUGGUGGAAAAGACAGUCUUUUAUACUAAGAUAGCCUUUGGCUUAAGAUGAGCAACAGACAAUUGAGUUGCGAAAAAAAUGUUUGUAACCUCUUAACCAUUAAUGUAGAGCUCUUUACAUCCAUGGAAAAGAAUUUACCCGAACAUAAUUUUCAAAGCUCUAGGUAUGCUGUCACUCGAAUUUGAAAGAAAGAGAUGGUUACCUCCAAUAUGAGUUUACAAAUAUUUCGGAAGUGAAACUAAAACCAAAACCCAAAAACACCCACAUGACUUCUGAUAGGGAUGUUGUUUGAUGGUGAUGGAAGUCGUCUUUUAGCUCGCGUCCAAAGAUUUUGUUAUUCCUCUUCGGACUAUAUCCCAGUUUGCUGCUAAGAAAAAGUUCCACAUUGUGAUGCAUUCUUUUUGGAGUCGUCCGCACUUAUAAUUUUGGUUUGAGAUUUUCCUCCUUUUUGGAUGCUCUCAUCAACAUCUCAAACAAAAAUGUUAAUGAUAAACAUUAUUCACUAAGGGAUUUAUAGCAUUUUACCAUAUUUCCGUGUGAGUUGCUACCUGAUGAAGACAGCAUCCUCUCAUGUACCUGUUUAGAGGGUGAUAAUUCUUGCGAUAAUCGAUACAAAAACCCUUUUCUUUUUACAUAAAAUGGUUAUUUUGACGGUUGAAAAUUUUCUUCAAAGUAGGGUGGCCCUCUUGGGCACCGACGACACUUUGUAUAAAGCGGUCUCUGAAACGGAGUAAUUUUAUGCUGAUGUGGUAACCUUUUGGUUACCUAUAACGCUUCUUGUAUUUGACCUCGGGAGUCUUGUGCAUCUAUCGUAUCGAUACAACUUAUAGAUUUCCCUUGAAUAGUUAAUAUUUGGAUAUUAUUAUGCAUUAUUUGAUGUUGGAUAUGAGGCAAUUUAUAGAUAUCCUUUCAGUUGCUAGGUUUUGAGUAAUCCUGCACAUUAUUCGGCCUUGGAUAAGAGAUGACUUACAGAUAUUCGUCCAAUCACUAGCUCUCAAGUAUUCCUGCACAUUAUCCAACCUUGGAUACAGUAUGACUUAUAGAUAUCUCUGAAAUUAGUAGUCUUUGGGUAAUCUUGUACAUAAUCGAUCUUGGAUAUGAUGCGGCUUAUAGAAUGCCCUUAGACCUAUCGAUUUUGAUAAUCUUGAAAAUUUUCCAAUAAGAAUUUAGUUGUGACUUAUGAUAACCUUCAAACUAUCGAUCUUCGGGUAACCUUGCACACUAUCUGGUUAGGAUGACCCAUGGACUGUCAACUUGUGGAUAAUCUUGCAUACUACCCUAUUUCAAAUAACUUGACUUAUAAAUGACCCUCGGAUUGCCAAUUCUCAAAAAAUCUAGUACGUCAUACAUUUUCGGAUAGCGACUUAUAAAAAUCCUUUGGACCAUAUGUUUCUUGAGAUCCAAUAGUGAAUGCUAUUAAAUCUUUGAUGAUUGAUGCACUUGAAUCUGUUGAAUAUCUCUCAAUGCCAUAUUGCUUUGCCUUUGCAUGAUUUGAUCAGUUGUGGAUGCUUCAGAAUAUCCUUCAAUGCCAGACUCUUUUGUCUUCGCAUGAUUAUCGGAUAUAUAUGGAAAUACUUCAGAAUAUCCUUCAACAAUAGAAUCUUUCGCCUUUACGUGAUUAACAGAUAUAGAAGACUUUGAUUCAAUCAUGGGCAUCAAAUUAAAUAUGGAGAUGCCCUUGGAUUGUUGCCUCUUUGAAACUGUCAAAGAAGGCAAUAUGGUUUUUAGGAUAUGACCUUUACAGCAUGGUCCUCUUGGCAUAGCCCUUUCGGCAUGGCCCUUACGGCAUGACCCUCUCAGCAUGGACCUAUUGGCAUGGCCCUCUUAGCAUGGCCCUUUUGACAUGGCCCUGUCAGUAUGGCCCUCUCAGCAUGAUAUGAUGCAGUAGAAAGAUGAUGAUAAAUGUAAAUAACUGUGCAGCGAUUGUAGAAAACCUUACCUUAACCAUUCCACUAGCAUGUUGGACCUUCUGCAUGUACUAUUUCAAACAUCCAUCCUUGAUUUACUAGGGAUGUGAGUAAGUCAUCAUUUUUUUCCACGUCUGAUAAUACCUGUAUCCAUAGAAAACUUGUUAGUUUUUGAAACUCAAUUGUUUUCAGCUUCUUGACCAUCCUAGCCCUUUUUAUUAUCCUUGGGAUGUUUGGCUUUCUUGUAUUCCUUUAAACCAAAGGAUUAUGGUGAAUAAUCGGCACUUUUGCUGGUUUUUUGUUGGCUUCAGAAUAACCUGCACCCACAGAAAAAUUAUUAGUUUUUGUUAAAAUUAAUCUGUGUUGACUUUCUCGGUCUUUAGCUACUGUCAUCACCAUUUUGGGUUCUCAUUUUCUUCAUGUGUUUGUCAUCUUUUAACUCCUGCUUCAAAUCGUCGAGUUGGUGGGUGUAAGGUAAAAUUAGAGCAUAAAUUAAUCUAAAUUAAGUAUUUUUACAAAUAAUUAAAUUUUCAAAAAACUUUUUAUAAGAUUGGGAGGAGUCUUUGUCAAAUAAUUCAUGUCAUAUAUGAGCUUUAACGAACAUUUUUUAGCUCGAGGCGUUAGGUCGUUGUAGCAGAAGGUCCAUGAAGUUGACUCUGCUCUUUCGGCGCCAAAAUCUUUGUUGUCAUCUUUGAACUCUUUGGUACAAACUGGUGAAAAUUUUAAGGUCCGACUUAAAAUUUCUACCCUAGUUACUGAUAUCUCUCUCAAAAUUUGAUUUGGCUUGCUAGAGAAUGCUCUUCUUCUGUUGAAUUUUUUGAGAUCCCAUCUCAGAAACUCUUCCCCAGUAUCCCUUUCCUGGGGUGAUACGACUGAUCCAUUGUGGUGCCUACGUAUCCCGUUGAAUAGGGAUCAGGUCAAACAUAGCUCCCACCACAUAAAAGGGAAUAAAAUAUAGUCAAAAAGGUGACCAAAGCUUGCAAAAUCCAUCUAAGUAUCCCAUCCAUAGGAAUUUCGGUCAUCACAUAGUUCAAGAUAAGAUAAAAAAAUUCUAAGAGAUUGACCGAAGCCGACAUAGGUCAUCUUCGUAUCUCAUUCUUGAGAAUUCAGGUCAAAUGUAGUUCAUACAUAAAAGGAAAGAAGAUUCUAAAGAUACUACGAAGCAUAAGAAUGAUUACAAAUGAGAAAGAAAUUACAAGGAAAUAAGCACAAAGAAACCCCACAUCAGACAUAGUAGCUAUUCACCACAUCAAAAUUAAUUGGCUUGUUCCACCUUUGGCCAUCCAUUUCAGAUAAAAUCAAGACUCCUCCCGAUAACACUUUGCAGACUACAUACGACCCCUGCCAAUUUAGAGCAAAAUUUUCCUUAUACUCUUCUUGGUAAGGAAAUAUGCAUUUGAGCACCAAUUUCACAACUUCAAAUCAUCCGUUAUUGAUAUAAUUGUCCAUGACUUACAACGCUCAUCCUCUUUUUAUCAAUCAUCAUAAGUUGUUCAUGGCGGGCGCGGACCCAUUCUUCAUUGCUCAAUCCUGCUUCUCGGAUGAUUCUUAAAGAUGGUAUUUCAACUUCAGUGGGUAUUGCUACUUAUAUCCCAUAGACUAACACAUAAGGAGUUACCCAAGUCAAAGUUCUGACUGUCGUGUGAUAUCCCAGCAAGGUAUAAGGAAGCAUGGCGUGCCACGAUCGAUGACUAUCAACCAUUUUUCUUAAGAUCUUCUUGACAUUCUUGUUGGCAGCUUCUACCUCUCUAUUCAUUUGAGGGCAAUAUGCGGUUGAAUUUAGAUAAGUAAUCUUGAACUGUUCACAUAUCUCUUUCAUCUAAUGACUAUUCAAGUUUGCUCUAUUGCUCGUGAAGAUUGACUCAGGCAUCCCAAAUUAGAAAAUCAAGUUGUUCUUGACAAAAUCUUCUACCACCCUCUUAGUUACCACCUUGUAUGACGCAGCUUCUACCCACUUGGUAAAUUAAUUGAUAGUAACUAAAAUAAAUUUAUGUCUAUUAGAAGCUGGUGGCUCAAUCAGGCCGAUGACAUCCAUACCCCAAGCUACAAACGGCCAAGAAAAGUUCAUAACAUUAAGUUCGUAUGGGAGCACCCAGAUCAGAUCCUCGUGUAUCUGGCACAUAUGGUAUUUUUGCACAAACUUGCUACAGUCACUUCCAUCGCCAUCCAGAAGUUGGCUCUCAGGAUCUUCUAGGCUAGGGUGAACCCAUUCAUAUGAGGUCCACACGUUCCGGUGUGAAUUUCUUCAAGUAAUUUUGUUACUUUAAUAGAAUCUACACAUCACAGAAAUCCCAAAUCUGGGUCUUCCUAUAAAGGACUUCCCUAUUAAAAAAGAAAUUAUUGGCCAUCCGACGGAUCAUUUUCUUUUAAUUGAAGAUUGCAUCUUCGGGAUACGCCCUAGCUUCUAAAUACCUCUAGAUAUCAAAGUACCAUGGCUUUUCAUCUGGUUCUGCCUCAACUUAUGCUCAAUGUGAAAGUUGCUCCUUCACACUUAUUUCUAAUGGAUUGAUGUAACUUUGAUCCAGAUGUUAAAUCAUGGAGGAUAUAGUGGCCAAAGCAUCAGCGAACUUAUUAUGUAUUCUUGGAACAUGCUUGAAUUCCACUUUCUUGAAUCUUUUGCAUAACUCUUAUACCAAUUCAACGUAUGACGUGCUUUUAGGGUUCUUUACAACCCAUUCCCCCCUAAGAUGGUGAAAUAAAAGAUCAGAAUCUCUAAUGACUAGUAGCUUCCGAACAUUCAUAUUAAUAGCCAGUCUGAGAUCGAGAAUACAAGCCUCGUAUUCAUCCAUAUUGUUGUUUCAAGAGAAGCACAGUUUGGCGGUAACUGGAUAAUGUUGACCAGUUUUUGAUAUUAAGAUUUCCCCAAUUCUUAAACCCUUGAAGUUAACCGCCCCAUCGAAGAACAAUCUUCAGCCCGAGUAUAUUUCAACAAUGUCUUCCCCUAUGAACAAUACCUCUUCAUUUGAGAAAUAAGUUUGGAGUGGCUCAUACUCUUCAUUAAUUAGAUUUUCCACUAGAUGAUCCGCUAGGGUAUGCUAUUUGAUCUCUUUUUGAGUCACAUAUACAAUGUCGAAUGCACUCAAUAGCAUUUGACAUUUGGCCAAUUUCCCUGUGAGCAUGGCAUUUUGGAAUAUGUACUUUAAAAGAUCCAUUCUGGAGAUGAGAUAUGUUAUAUAUGACAUCAGGUAAUGCCUCAGCUUAUUGGCCCUGGUCAAUGCACAACACAUCCUUUCCAAUAGCGUGUAAUGAGCCUCAUAUAGAGUGAACUUCUUACUCAAGUAAUAAAUUAAUCUUUCCUUCUUUUCAGUUUUAUCAUGUUGCCCUAGACACAUCCAAAUGCUUGUCAAAGACCAAUAAAUACAACAACAUGGGGCUUUCUUCUCUUGGAAGAACUAGUAUUGGUGGACUGGAUAGAUAAUCCUUGAUCCGGUCAAAAGCUCACUGCAUUCUUCAAUCCAUUUAUUUGUCGCAUCUUUCUUUAAACAUCUUGAGGAUUGGUUUGCAAAUAACCAUUGACUUGGCUAUGAACCUGCUGAUGUAAUUCAAUCUCCCUAAGAAACUAAUGACUUCUUUGUUUGUCUUCGAAGGAGGAAACUCCUAGAUUGCCUUAAUUUUUGAGGGGUCGAGUUCAAUGCACCUUCUACUAACUAUGAAACCCAACAACUUUUCGGUCGGUACCCUAAAAUCACACUUAUUAGGAUUCAUCUUUAAAUUGUACUUUUACAAUUGAUCAAAGAACUUUCCCAAAUGGGCUACGUGGUUCGAGCCCUUGCGAGAUUAGAUGAUCACAUCAUCCACAUACACUAUAAUCUCUUUAUGAAUCAUAUCAUGAAAUAUGGUUAUCAUGGCUCUUAUAUAUGUAGCACCAGUAUUCUUGAGACCGAAGGGCAUCACCCUAUAGUGAUAAACACCCCAGGGUAUGAUGAAGGCCAUUUUCUCUGUAUUUUCUUCGUCCAUCAGUAUUCGAUGAUACCUAUCAAAUCAAUCCACGAAUGACCGUAUCUUAUUCCUCGCAUUGUUGUCAAUGAAAAUAUGGAUGUUGGGCAAUGGAAAGUUAUCUUUAGGACUGGAUUUGUUCAAGUCCCUAUAAUCGACACAAAUCAUGACCUUCCCAUCCUUCUUCGGUACUGAACAAUAUUGGCUAGCCAUGUUGGAUAUUUUGUGACCUCAAUCACAUUGGCUUAAAUUUUCUUCAUGAUUUCUUUAUUGACUUUUAGACUCAGAUCUGGCUUGAAUUUUUGCAACUUUUGAUUCACAAGAUUGAACCCCAGAUCAAUUGGAAACUUGUGAGAUACAAUAUCUGUACUCAAUCCUAGCAUGUCAUCAUAUGACCAAGUAAAUAUAUCAAUGUAUUCUUUAAGCAACCCGACGAGUUCUCCUUUCUGUGUUUCUAUUAGGUGAACGUUGAUUCUGGUUUCUUUGACUUCUCCAUCAUUACCUAUAUUAACUAUCUCGGUUUCUUUUAAGUUGGGCUUUUUCUGAUCCUUAAAAUCUUUCAGUUCCUCUGUUAAUCAUUUUGGGGCCAUUAUUUGUUCAUCAUAGUUCUCCCACUCAUCAUCAUUCACUUUGAAUUGUUCAUUUAGCUCAUGACAUAACAUGAUAUUGGUAGGUUUUAAAUUAUUAUUACUGUAGUAAAAAACAAUAUGAGUUACAUUAUAGUGAUCGAAUAAUGAAGUAAAAAUGAGUAAAAACAUCUUUGCAAUAAAAGAGGCUUUCAUUGAAAUUUAAAAUAUUACAGAGACUGCUAUGAUCUGCACUAGUAUGGGUCUGAGCAAUUUGGGAAACAUAAAAAAACAAAAAUGAGGUAAAUAAAACUUAAAGGGUCGGUCUCGAGCCUCAUUUGGACUGUCACUGAUUUUGAAAAAAGCUAAAUUUCAUCCUUUCAUCUACCACAUCAACCGGGCAGUCAUGAUUGAAAUAGAAGUCCAGUUCGACAGCUUCUCCCCUAGUUCAUCUUUCUUGAUCUUAGUCUUCUCAAGUAAAUCCUCCAUAAUGGAAUCACACUUUUCAAACAAGUUACCUAUUCCUUCCUCGAUAUCAUCAUUUGUAGGCUUUACAGAUACAGAAAAUGACUGGUAAAGCGGAGGUAACUUUUUUGCCGAUUCUGGGCCUUCUCUCUUCAUCUGUCUUUCACCUUCUUUAGUUGGCACAUAGCCUAUCCCAUAUUUGAAAAACUUCUUUGGGAUUGCGAUAGGCUCGAUGAUCCCAUUCGAAUUCUUUCCUAAGUCACGCUGAGCUCAAAACCGCUUCUCAGCAUAACAAUGGCCAAUAUCUUGUAAAUCGAAGGCAUUAGCUCGUAAGGAGUUAAGUCUUUCUCAGCUGCAUUCAUGAUCUCCACUAUAUAAAAGUAUCUUUCUUUCAGUACUUCUUCAACAUAGGAACAUAAACAUUAGGGUGACUCGGGCGGCUUAUUUCCCCAUGGAUGACCACUUUAUUAUUUUCCCACACGAAUUUCAUCGAUUUAUGCAAUAUUAAAGAAACGACCCCCACUGCAUGAAUCCAAAGGAUUCUUAAGAUAAGAUUAUAACUUGUAGAAAUGUCCAUCACCUGAAACUCAACUAACAACUCUGCCAGCCCCAUUUGAAGAUGCAACUUGACUUCUCUAGUGGUGUUUCUCUGACCUCCGUCAAAAGCUUACAUUUACCAUAUUCUGAUGAAGUUUCCUUAUAUCACAGUUCAGCUGAGUCAGAAUAAAUAGUGGACAAAUAUUCAGACCUGGUCCAUCGUCAAUUAACACCCUGUUAACAACCUUAUUUGGCAUUUGGCAGUGAUAUGCAAUGCCUUGUUGUGCAUUACUCUUUCGAAGGGUAACUCAUCUCCUCCAAAGCUAAUAUAAUGAGAUCCUACCACUUUACUGAUCAUGGCCACCAAGUUUUCAGUAUUGGUGCCUAUGGGCAUGUAGGCUUCUUCAAGGACUUUCAGCAGAGCUUGUCUAUGAUAUUGAGAACUCAUGAUCAAUGCCCAAAUAGAAAUCUGAGCAGGGGACUUCUCUAAAUGUUUUACAAUAGGGUACUCCUUCGGCUGCAUUCUUCUCCCAAAUUCUUUGGCUUCCCCUUCAAUGAUUGGACUUUUUUAGCACUCUUUUUGUAUGCAUCAUUGGUAAGAUCCUGUGGAGUGUAGCAUCUCCAUAAUCUAGCCAUCCUUACGCAGUGGUGGCUUCUACCACAAAUUUUUCUCUAGCGGGAACUAAGGCAAAAGCUGGAUGAGGUGCGAUGAAUGCAACAAACUUGGGCUUCUCGAUAACAUUUUAAGCAGCCACUACCUUUUCUAUAUCUUUCAUCUUAUAUAUUUCUUUUAGGAUAGCCUUUGUUAUAGACUUUCUCACUACCCACUAGCCAUCUCUUUCUAUCAUGCUAAUGGUUGCCUAUUCAUUAUUAGGGAGUGGGUUGGUGGUAGCAUUUGGCUACACGGUUUAAAGCGAAAUCACCUUUUAAUUAAUCAAAUCUUGAAUCUUAUGCUUCAAAUUAAUACAAUCCUCAGUUAUGUGUCCAACACCCCUGAAUGAUAUGCAUAUGUUGGUCAGCAUAGAAGAAUCAGGAAUUGGUAUUGGCUGGUUUCGGUGGGAUAGGUUGGAUGUGAUCUGCUUUCCUUAGCCUUUCAAAUAAUUGAGUUUUGCUUUUAGCCAAACCAGUAAAACUUUUAGUGAAUUUCUUUUUGUUAUUCGGGCGAGGAAGAUUUUGGUAAGCAGAGAGGGACUUGAUGGUAAUUCUGGUUAACUGGGGCUCUUUGGUAGUCAUGGAAAUUUGGGAGUGGAUCUCGGUAAGUAGGCUGAUAAUUUGGCAAUAAAGCUGGGUAAUUCGAUUGAUUGGUAGAUAAAUUUGGCUGUUAAACUUGGGGGCUAGUUUCGGUGUAUAACACGAGUUGAGGAUUUUGUAGAGCUAGGGGAUAUAUAGGCGAUGAUGUUAUUUUCCCAUAACUGGGCUCGAAAGAUUUCUUUGACUUCGGGUUUGGACUAAAGGAUAUGAAAGACACAUCUUCUCUCUUUUUCUUUGGGAAUCCUGAAGAUCAAGGUUAUGAAGAGGUCUUGCUAAUUUUUUUUUGUCCUGAGUCCUUCUUUAACUGUUUCACCAAUCUUAACCAAGUCAGCAAAGGUAGCAGGAACUGCUGAUAUCAUUUUGUCAUAAAACUCUCCCUCCUGAGCUUGGGUAAACAUAACAACUAUUUAUUCUUUUGUCAGAGGAGGUCGUACCUUUGCUGCCUCUUUCCACUAAUGAUAGGUAUAUUCACAAAAGAAUUUAUUAGACUUUUGCUUGAUGCGGUUCACAUAAUAUAGAUCAGGAAUCAUCUCUACAUUAUAGGUAAAUAUUUCAACAAAAUCCUUGGCUAAAGCACUCUAUUCAGGCCACUUCUUCAGUUUCUAUGAAGCAAAUCAUUCUAAUGUUUCUCCACUCAGGCUUCGACAGAAGAGUCUCAUCAGCAAUGCCUUAUUUCUACCAGCACCUACAAUUUGGUCAUAAUAUCCUCUCAAGUGGGUCGUAGGGUUCCCAGUACCAUUGAAUGUCUCAACUUAAGAACAUUAAAUCCUUUAGAAAGGUUCAAGUCAGGGCGAAUACAAAGGUCAUCAUAACUGAACCCUACAGUAUUGAGCGAACCAUGUAUUUUCUUUAUCCUGGCGAUCUCUUCCUUUAUCAACAGUAGCUCCCUAGCAUAUUUGUCUUUAGGCCCCUUACUCUUCUUACCCAUCUCCUCAUACUGGUAAAUUUCUAGAUUUUGUGGGGAAGUAUGGUAAGAGGCAGGCACUACAAUAGCGUGGAUGGUGGAGUGAGACACAUUUUUUGGUCAUCGAAGGAUUUUGAGUGGUGUGAGCAAAGUUUUGGUAUGUAGGAAUUGGAUUUUGGGGAACGUUGACAUUGAGACUGAAAGUGGGGUGGGUAUUUUAGAAAGUGAAGGCAUUUGUGAAAGUGUUUUGGUAAUUUAGAGUGAAGCUUUGAGAGUGGUAAGUAUUUGGAUGAUUUUCUCGGUUGGUAUUAUAAAAAAGAGAGAUAUAGGUUUGACACAACAAAUUGAUGAUAUUAGUGAGAGGCCUGGGUAUAGAAUGGAGGGUAUGUCAUUUGGUUGGCUUCCACUGUUAGGAGACUUAAGAGAAGGGAAUCAAAGUGGAAGCACAUGGGUAUCCAAGACUGGCGUUUUAGUUGCAAUGGCCAAAUUAGCCAUAUCUUUUGCGUGUUGUAGUUCUUCUUGAAGCUCCUACAUUCUUCUAGUUAGUUCAGUGAUCAUCUCACCUUGUGUCAUUAUCACACCAUCUCUAAUAGUAAUUUCGGUGAGAGCAUUAUCAUCGCUACUAUCGGUCAUUCUUUAUUCUUCAGUUAAGCAAUGGUCAAGGGAGGAAUUUUUAUUUGCCUUAGAUCUAGUGAAAUAUUGAUCUCCAGCGAGUUUUAUAACCAUAGGUCAACUUCUACUUACUUGAUAUCAGACAACUCCAAAGGAAAAUAUGUUAGAUUCGCUUAGUGAUAAAUAAUGCAAGAUAUCCGACAUAAAGUAAACACAUAAAGUUGCUUUUAUUUUAGGUAAAUUGAUCCAUGAGUGGGUAUUAACUCGAAAGGAAUUAACGGGCGGGACUUUGUCCGUUGAUUUUUGGAUAAAUGGGUUUUGACAAGAUUUUUACCAAGGCUUCUAAUUUUGUACUCAUAUGACUUUCUUUGACAAAAUGAGACAUAAUGAUUUUAAAUGAUAGAGGCCACGAUGAAAGGAUGUGUACGUAUCUCACAAAGGAGAAAUCAGGUCAUACGUAGUUCAAAUAGGUAAGGAUAAAACUUCAUUUCAUUGAAAUCUCACUAGAGUUCGUUACAUUAGCGGAACAUGAAAAGAAAAAUGACAACAAAAAAAAAGAAACUAAAUGACUAAGUCUUAGAUAGAUGUGGGCAUUCCCACUUCAUUCUGCCUUUUCCACAUCUUGAUCUUCUAUGGGUGGUAUAGCAAAAAUUCCAACUCAACCCUUCCUGUAUCCACCAGGCUCUCUAAAUCUAUCUUAAAAGCAUGGAAAGUUUCCAAGUUGUGCCCUUCGAUGCCUCCAUUAUAGUGACAAAUCUCUCUGAAUUUCUUCCAAGCUUUAAAUAUCGUAUUAUGCUUCUUUUUCACUGGUUCCAGAAUUUUGGCAUUGAUGAGCUUUGAGUAGAUUUCAUGGUAGGUAUCUUCAAACCUUGUGAAGUCGUAUUUGUGAAUCUAUAGGUCAUUGGUGAUGGUCAUGCCUAGAUUAACCUGAUCGCAAUAAAGAAUGGUUUAUGGUCCCCAUAAAUUAUUUAUUUGACCAUCGCGAAUCUUGGCCUUCAGAGCAAAACACUCGUCAGUGGUAUGACCAGUUUAUUGGGAUCAUCCUUGGGAAAACAACAAAAUCCUUCUAUUUGAUCAUGGUGGAGGACCCCCAUAUUUCUUAGGAUUUGAUAAACUAUCGAGCAUGUUAUGAUCUAAGGAUACCGAGAGCAUGCUCUGAAGUGAGCUCUGCAGGUGAUCUUUUCACUUCCCGACCUAAUCCUAGUUGGCUAGAUGGCAUACCCUUUAGUAUUGGCCCAGCUUUCAUCUCUUAGGUUUGCAGGUGGAACUUGCUCAAACUUCUUUUUUUCCUGCUUGAUCAACUGGUUGACUUCGAUAAUUUCUUUGUCGGCCUGAUCAACCUUCCUAAUCAGUCUUUUGAUUUCUUCUUUUUGCAUUUCCUCCACUUGGGCUAACUCUACUAUCCGUCUUUUCAUUUGUGUGGUCCAUGAAUCCAUGAAAAAUUUUCUUGAAAGAAUAGGAAUAUGUUUAUCAAGAAAGCUAAAGAAAAUAGUUGACGACUUCUUGAGAAACUUGGGGAGCUGGAAUGUCUUGGGCAAACUUUUGAUAGUAAGAAUAUAUUUUGCCUAAAGGGUUUUCAAGGAUUUAUUGAGUUGUGGAUCAAUUUACCUUUGAUUAACAAUACACAUAGCACUUAAACAGUUAUAUCACAUAAUACAUUUAUAUUUCACAACAAUAGAAUAAUAAAUAACGAGCCCUAAUUGGGUGACACUUUUGAGCCAAAGGUUGUCCUAGAGAAUUUGAAGGAAAUAUAUGUCUUUUAAACCAAUAAAGUAUCCCUCAAAAUCUCCAUAGAUAUUUAUAAAUCCAUAAGUGUUGACAAAAGUUUCAUAAGGGGAUACAAUCUUUAGGGAAAGGGGAAAUGAUAUGAAAAGAACAAAGUCCCACACAGGGGAUAAAGACUAACUCCUAGAUGCUCCUCCAUUGGCGUUCGAUCUCUUAGAAUUAUCCACCUCUUGACAUAUGUGAUAUAUGUUGAUGACCAGAUGACUCCCGCAUAAUUAUACUUUAUUCUUGUAGGUUGUCUCCCCUAUGCUAUCAAUUUGAUAAGCUAUGUGAUCAUGCAAAUUAAGCAAGCAUUGUCUUGUAUCAAUAACCUCUUACCUAGAUCUAUUUAAAUCUUCCCUCAACAGAUGUAUAGUUGAGGCAUCCUCCAUAUGCAUAUGCUGGUAUGCCAUUUCACUUCUUUAAAAUUCGUCCUGAAGCCUAUUGAGCCAGAUCUGGUGUUCUUACUCUACAUCAAUUAUUUGUGUGGGUACAUUCGCACCCAGUACCAAUGUUCCAGCAAGAUUCUCCUUCAACCACUCUUUGUAGGUAUCACUAACCUCAGGUUCAUACCCAAUACAAAAGGAGACUUCUUUGGUAUUUCUUCUUCUCCACCGAUCUACCAUGUACUAUUUGAGUGGAGUUUCACCUUCAUCAUACUUGGUGAUGAAUCUAACCAUAGGCGUUGUUUAUGAUAUUUCCUGCUUGAUUUCAAACUACCUAAGAACCCUGUCGGGGUUGUAAGGACGAGUUCUCCUAAGACCUGGAAGUAUUAAAAAGGCCAUUCUUUUCCUCAAGUGAUGUACUUCCCUGGAUGAAGAUAUUUGAUAGACCACUGAACGUUGUCCUCUCUCAAUUCCCCAAAAACCUUGAACCGAAAUCCCAGAGAGUCUAUCAUCUUAAACCUGUACAAGGAUAGCCAAAUGUCAUGUGAUGAUAAAAGAUCUACCCUUUUCCAAGGGUCUGGCUUCUUUACUCUGGUAUUUUUCAAUAAAUGUUUCAUCAUCCACCAUUGAAAUAUAAGGUUGCACCCUUGGAAGAAACGAUUCCUACCUUGACACAUUCCCAAAGCCCUAUAUAUUUUAGCGAUAAUCAUGGAAGCUAGAGUAUGGAAUACUUUAGUGGUUUUGUAAUCUACUUCUUAUAGGAAGGCGUGCAUUACCAUAACAACUCUUAGAUUAAUGGUGUCAUUCUCUCCUUGCAGGAACACCAUAGUUCCAAGCAAACCUACAGCGAAAACAAAUGCUCUUUUCUCCCUCCAUUUUGACUCUGAUUUGAAUUUGUGUCCAAACUUCUAAAAGCGUUAUACUUUUUGAACCAGCUAUAUAGAUCACAAAAAAGGUAUGUUAUCUCUAUCAUGUUCCCCCAACCAGGUAUCAUCGUUGAUCAAAAAGGCAUCUUUGAUCUCCUGACGGUUUCAUAAAGUAGGGACUAUAAUACUUUUUUCGGGUGCACUCCUUCUUUUUUUCCUAUACAUAUGAAGUCUCUCAUAACAGGCCACUACUUCUUCAAUAGUGGGGUUCAAUUCGACUUCCUCAUAGCGAAACACCAUGUUGUCAUCAUUUGAGAAUGUUGUUAGUAAAUGGAUCAUUUCAGGACAAAUGUUCAUAUCUUGAAGCUCAGGUAGAUGCCCGAUAUGUGUACUAACAAUCUCUUUGUCUUUUUCACCCAUAUGAGUCCACCAUACCUCCAGGAAGUUAUCAGGUCCGGUAACCAUCUUUAACUUUCUACAAGGGUAUGCUUGAGCCAUUCCUACAUGAUAGAAAUAAAAGUAAGACUUCUCCCUACCCCAAAGGAUAAUUGAUUGGAUUAAACAGACAUAUAUUUUUUCAACACAUAAGCAUGAUUCGUUUGUAAUUGGCUCGUGGCUAAUAGAAGCAGAACAAUUUUUCUAAUGGGCCUAAUAUCCCCUCGAGUAUUGGGCCGCCCUAGGCUCAUGCCUAAAAGAAGAUUUUGGUUUCGCUCUAUCUUAGGUGUCUAGAGUGGGGCUUUGGAAUAGGUUCCCAAGCGGAAGACUUGGGUUUAGAAAUACGAACAGUCAUCGGACGCCUAACGUGACAAUAAACUGAUGUAUUUCCAGCAUUUGAUUUGGAGUUGAACAAUAGGGGUUGGGACAUCCACGAAAUCCCAAAUAAUUUAUAUAUUUUGAAUGCAGAAAUAUGUCACGAAAUGCAAUAAUUUAAAAUUUGCAAAAAUUUAAACACAUAAGAAGACAAACAGUGUAAAUAUUACAACCCAAAUAGUUAGACAAAGAAGUUAGCACACAUUUGGUUAGAACCUAGUGAAGUCCCCAGCAGAGUCACCAUUUCUUUUUUAUCCUUUUGCGGAUUUUACUUAAAAGAAAAUGGUUUUGACCCUUUUAAACUAUUUCGAAAGAUUUAAGAGAGUUUCAAAAUUAUUUUUGACAAAUUUAUAGAGUCGCCACUUGAUUUUUUUUAUCAAAAAUAUCAAGAAAACUUAAAGAGAUUUCAAAGAUUCAAAAACCAAAAUAAAUUUUUGAAAAAUAGAGAAAUUGAGUAAGGGUUCAAUUAACGCCCUUAGAAGAUUUUUACGGCACUUAGGAGCGUCUGUUUUAAAACGGUUCAUCAAAAGAUUAUAUUUUGACUAAAAAAGAGUGACUAACUUUGCAAAGGUUGAUUUUUUAAUAUUUAUAUUAUUUAUCCAUACAUCUAAAAAAUCGUAUUUGUUUGUUCAAACAAGGAAUAGCCUACUUGAAUUAGGAAAAAGCUAUAUUAUAUUCUACUUAAUUCAAUAUUAAUUUUGAGAAAAAUUACGAAAUAUUUCAUUUAGAUUGAGAAACAUUACGGAAUAUCUUGCUUGAGAAAAUAUUCUACUUAAUCACGAGGAAGCUAGAAUUUGAGAAAAACAAUCAAGGAAUAUGCUAGUUGGGAAACUUCAACUUAAUUCGUAAUUACUUCUAGAUAAAUAUAGAAUAUUUACUUCAAUUAAAAUAAACCUAUCUAAACUAGAUUACGCUUUUGAGUUUAUAGAGGAAAUAAGUUAAUUUUUUAAGGAAAUUGAGAAUUAUAUGAUUAUUUAUUAUUAUUGUCAUAAAUAUAGUCAUUUUGUUAUAAAUAACACCUUUGAAAUAUUUUAAGAAAGUAUCAUUUUAUCAAUUAUGAAAAAUUUGGAACUUGCGAGAAAAUUAGUUUCUUGAAUUUGAAGAUAAUUACUUUUUAACCCAAGUAGUCUAUCAGUCAAGUGAACAAGACAAGUGUUAUUUUCAAGUAGAGGACUUAAUGAUUUUUCUCUUUUAAAAAAAAAAUUAAUUUAGGAAUAGCAAUCGAAAGAACCACUUUAAUCCAUUUUAGAAAAAAUAAAUUAGGUGAGAAAAUUUGUGAAUUAAAUAUGGAAAUCGAGGUAAAACAAAUAGCAACAACAUGGGGAAACACCAGAUUAAUUAAUUAAGGUUAGUUCAAAUACAAAAUAAACAAGUAUAGCAGUUGCAAUUUAAGAGAAUAAAAGGUUAAAGUUGGAGUUGGGCCUUUUUUGGCCCAUCAGUGAGUUGCCCAGCCUUUGGGCUUCCCAUUUUAUGGAAUUUAGGUCCAUUUUCCUGUAGGGUAUACCACAUGUAUACCAGCUAUAUUCUUCUGCAUUUUUAUGUAUAUAUGGUGUAUAUAUGACUGUAUUUCAGUCACAUACACACAACUUUAGUCCUCCCCUGUAUAAUCAGCUUCCCUUUCACAUUUUCAGCCGUAGAUACUCAGUAUACUGGCGUAUAUCUGUGUAUACAACUUAGAAUCAUCCCAUUUUUCUUCUUGCAUUAGUCCAUUUUGGACUUGAUGUAGGUCUUGACUCGAUGUUUCAGCAACUUAGUCUCAAGGAAACAUAAGAUAUUGAGUCCAAUUGAACUCCAUUGGAAUUCAUGGAAAAAGCAAAGAAACAAAGGAUUAAUGAAAUGAAGAAAAAAGAAUAAAUAACUUUGUAUACUAGCUUGCUUAAUUAUAACAUAGAAGAGCAUCCAAUAAUAUUAGACAAAUCCCCUACUCCUAACUAUGUUAAAACAAUACAGAUUUCAAAAUAUUAAGACUUCAUGCAACAUUAAUCACCCCAGCAAAUUUCUUUAAGUUCUAUUACAUGCUUUGGCAUAUUACAAAACAUAAAUUAGGCCAAUCGAGCAGGUUAAACUAAAAUCUCUUCAAAACCAUUCCAUGCAUUAGAUUUCUAUGUUAUCUAUGUUUCAAACCUCCUAUGAAAACAUGCCUUUAAACCUAUAUCGACCCGAAUCAGGAUCUUUGAAAAAGGAUUUCAUAAGAGGGAAGUUGCUAAACUAACCAUAAUGAUAGGCAGGAACAAAGAAGACGAAAAGAAAAUCUCCUAGCACGAGACAUCACAAGUUACUAAUAAUGGAUCAAGAUUCGAUCUUUAUUUAAUACUUAGACAAAACAAGCUAUCAUCCUGCGACUCCCUCCUAUCAAAUAAACAUUAAGAAAGAACAUGCCAGUCGAGUCCAAACACAUAGAUUAACGUACUAAGUCAAAACAAAAAAGGAGCAAGAAGGUCGUCGAGGAGUCUUUGAUUUUGCAGUCCUUGGUUUUACAUUAAUUCCAAUAAGGCAUAAUGGAACAGUUUGCAUUGUAAUCACAUAAACACUAGGAUAACAUCUGUUCAUUCAAACGUUCAACAGGCAGACAUCGCAAGUUGCUAAACUUCAGAACAUAUUUUUUUAACAGAACAAGCCCCCUAAAGCCUAAAGCUUUCCAACCUCAAACACAUAUAAACACCUUAAUACCUUUACAUCCAACAACAACCAAAAGACAGUAUAAUGGAACAAUGGUCUUAACAAAAAUAGUGUCGAAAAGGCGGAGUUUGCACCUUUUUUGGAGCAGGAACGGGAACUUCAAAACUCUUCCGAACAAAUCCCACCACAAUUUCUAGUUGCCAUUAGGAUUCCAGUGAUUUUUGAUGGGUUUUUUAUAAUGCUCCGAAGAUCUCUUGUUUAUGUAAGGUUAUAGGUGCGCACCUCCAGAACCUCAAUUUUUUCCCAAGAAAAACCUUCUCUCAUCCUUGUCCCUUGCUCUCUAUUUAUAGGGGAAGCUAGGGUUUUGAAAUAGUGGAAUUCAAACCUAAAAUUUCAAAUUCAUUCCUAAAAAUUUUGAUUAUCCAUAGUGAGACAAAGGCCAUUAAUGGCCUGUGUACUCAAGAAUCAGUAGAGAGAUGGAGAAAAAGAGACGUUUGGCUUUGAAAAGGGAUGUUGGCUAAGUUGGUCAAAUGGGUAAAUUAAUUUUUCGGCUGAAAAUUGUGAAAGCCUUCUACCUUUUGACCAUGAAUUGGUGAACCAUAAGGGCAAAAUGAUAAAUAGGGGUGAUUUUAGGUUUUGCCAUUGGUUGACCGUCGUUGUUGUUGCUUUGUCGUUACAGCAUUGAGAUUGUACGUUGUUGUUGUUGCUCUAUGAAAUCGCUGGUGUGAUUGUUGUUGAUUAUACGUGGUUUUUGGAUUGUUGUUGUCGUCGUUUUUCAUUGUUGAAAUUGAUACAACGUUUGUUG
rnacentral:lncRNA from 1 species